rnacentral:ribozyme from 16 species
AAGCAAGAUGCACCGAAAAAAAAUUCUUUGUUUGCGCCUUUCUUUUUUUUUUUUUCUUCGUCUUUGUUUUUUUCUUUUUUUCUU